rnacentral:misc_RNA from 1 species
GUAGGUGAACCUGCGGAAGGAUCAUUAACACGUGAUACUCACGUAUUAAAACCCACCGAGAAAUAGUUACUAUCCUAGUUCCAGAUGCAGGCAGACUUUGUGAGGAAAUGCUAUUGGUCGCGCUUCCGAAAGGUAUGAGUCUACACCAGGACUCACAAAGUUGUUCUAUGGUCCGCCCAGGAGUUUGCACUGACGACUAGUUGACGAGUUACGACUGCUUAUUAAGCCUGUAGCAUAGCUUGCAGAUCGU